AUUGAACGCUGGCGGCAUGCCUUACACAUGCAAGUCGAACGGUAACGCGGGGCAACCUGGCGACGAGUGGCGAACGGGUGAGUAAUGUAUCGGAACGUGCCCAGUUGUGGGGGAUAACUGCUCGAAAGAGCAGCUAAUACCGCAUACGACCUGAGGGUGAAAGCGGGGGAUCGCAAGACCUCGCGCAAUUGGAGCGGCCGAUAUCAGAUUAGGUAGUUGGUGGGGUAAAGGCUCACCAAGCCAACGAUCUGUAGCUGGUCUGAGAGGACGACCAGCCACACUGGGAGUGGGACCCGGCCCAGACUCCUACGGGAGGCAGCAGUGGGGAAUUUUGGACAAUGGACGCAAGUCUGAUCCAGCCAUGCCGCGUGCGGGAAGAAGGCCUUCGGGUUGUAAACCGCUUUUGUCAGGGAAGAAACGCUCUGGGUUAAUACCUCGGGGUAAUGACGGUACCUGAAGAAUAAGCACCGGCUAACUACGUGCCAGCAGCCGCCGUAACAC
rnacentral:rRNA from 1 species